ACAUGUGACGAGUUUGAUCAUGGCUCAGAACGAACGCUGGCGGCAGGCCUAACACAUGCAAGUCGAGCGAGGUAGCAAUACCUAGCGGCGGACGGGUGAGUAACGCGUGGGAACGUACCCUUUGCUACUGAAUAGCCCCGGGAAACUGGGAGUAAUACCGUAUGUGCCCUUCGGGGGAAAGAUUUAUCGGCAAAGGAUCGGCCCGCGUUGGAUUAGGUAGUUGGUGGGGUAAUGGCCUACCAAGCCGACGAUCCAUAGCUGGUUUGAGAGGAUGAUCAGCCACACUGGGACUGAGACACGGCCCAGACUCCUACGGGAGGCAGCAGUGGGGAAUCUUAGACAAUGGGCGCAAGCCUGAUCUAGCCAUGCCGCGUGAGUGAUGAAGGCCUUAGGGUUGUAAAGCUCUUUCAGAUGGGAAGAUAAUGACGGUACCAUCAGAAGAAGCCCCGGCUAACUCCGUG
rnacentral:rRNA from 1 species